rnacentral:rRNA from 1 species
UACGUAGGGGGCAAGCGUUGUCCGGAUUUACUGGGCGUAAAGAGCGCGCAGGCGGUCGGUCAAGUCGCGUGUGAAAGCCCCCGGCUCAACUGGGGAGGGUCACGCGAUACUGAUCGACUCGAAGGCAGGAGAGGGAAGUGGAAUUCCCGGUGUAGUGGUGAAAUGCGUAGAUAUCGGGAGGAACACCAGUGGCGAAGGCGACUUCCUGGCCUGUUCUUGACGCUGAGGCGCGAAAGCUAGGGGAGCAAACGGG